GACGAAGGUGGGGCUGGGAGGUGCAGUAGCCUAAACGGCAGGUGCGGCGGCGGCAGGAAAUAGCAACGCAGCAGCAGCGGCAGCGACGGCGAAGGGGCUGGGAGGUGCAGUAGCCUAAAUGGCAGGCGCGGCGGCGGCGGGAAAUAGCAACAGCAGCAGGCGCGGCGGCGGCGGGAAUUAGCAACGGAGUAGCAGCGGCAGCGAUGAAGGUGGGGCUGGGAGGUGCAGUAGCCUAAACGGCAGGUGCGGCGGCGGCGGGAAAUAGCAACGCAGCAGCAGCGGCAGCGACGGCGUGGGGCUGGGAGGUGCAGUAGCCUAAACGGCAGGCACGGCAGCGGCGGGAAAUAGCAACAGCAGCAGGCGCGGCGGCGGCGGGAAUUAGCAACGGAGUAGCAGCGGCAGCGACGGCGGUGGGGCUGGGAGGGCCAUUAGUCUCAACAGCAGGCACGGCGGCGGGGGGAAAUAGCAACAGCAGCAGGCGUGGCGGCGGCAGGAAUUAGCAACGGAGUAGCAGCGGCAGUGAUGAAGGUGGGGCUGGGAGGUGCAGUAGCCUAAACGGCAGGCGUGACGGCGGCGGGAAAUAGCAACGCAGCAGCAGCGGCAGUGAUGGCAGUGGGGCUGGGAGGUGCAGUAGCCUAAACGGCAGGCACGGCGGCGGCGGGAAAUAGCAACAGCAGCAGGCGCGGUGGCAGCGGGAAUUAGCAACGGAGUAGCAGCGGCAGCGACGAAGGUGGGGCUGGGAGGUACAGUAGCCUAAACGGCAGGUGCGGCGGCGGCGGGAAAUAGCAACGCAGCAGCAGCGGCAGUGACGGCAGUGGGGCUGGGAGGUGCAGUAGCCUAAACGGCAGGCACGGCGGCGGCGGGAAAUAGCAACAGCAGCAGGCGUGGUGGCGGCGGGAAUUAGCAACGGAGUAGCAGUGGCAGCGACGAAGGUGGGGCUGGGAGGUGCAAUAGCCUAAACGACAGGUGCGGCGGCGGCGGGAAAUAGCAACGCAGCAGCAGCGGCAGCGACGGUGAAGGGGCUGGGAGGUGCAGUAGCCUAAACGGCAGGCGCGGCAGCGGCGGGAAAUAGCAACAGCAGCAGGCGCGGCGGCGGCGGGAAUUAGCAACGGAGUAGCAGCGGCAGCGACGAAGGUGGGGCUGGGAGGUGCAAUUGUCUGAACAACAGGCGCGGUGGCGGCGGGAAAUAGCAACAGCAGCAGGCGCGGCGGCGGUGGGAAUUAGCAACGGAGUAGCAGCGGCAGCAACGGCGGUGGGGCUG
rnacentral:lncRNA from 1 species